AACAUGCUUCCCGAACUGAUUCAAAAACUACUGACAAGGUUCCCCAUUGGAAAAUCAGACUGACUUUCACUUAAUAGGUUAUACACCAUGGUCAAUAGACUUAUAAUUUAUUACUCAAUGUACUGAGCACUAAGGUACUCAACAGUGCCCAAAGAGAAGGGAAAGCCAACUAUUUAUAACUUUGAAACGGAAACUGAGUUCGCGUCUCUAAUAAAAAGGUCACGUCCCUAAUAAAAAGGCCUGCUGAAGCUCACUGCAUAAAGUUUGUUCAUUCUCUCUCUCCUUAAACUGCUAAUUUAUGGCUAUGGCAGGCAGAAUAAUGGUCUCCCAAAGAUAACCACAUCCUAAUCCUGGAAACCUGUGAAUAUUAGUUUACACAACAAAGGAGAAUUAAGGCUGCUAAUCAGCCAACCUUAAAAUAGGGAGAUUAUCCUAGAUUAUAUAGGUGGGCCCAAUGUCAUCAAUCACAGCAUUCUUACAAAGUGGAAGAGGAAGGAGAGUCAAGGAAGAAUAUGUGAUGAAUGCCAGAAGUAGGGUCAAAGUGAUGCAUGUAAGAACUAGACCUGCCUUUGCGGCGUUUGGAGAUGAAAGAAGGGAUCAAGAGCAGCCUCUAGGAGCUGGAAAAGCCAAGAAAAGAGAUUCACCUCUAGAGCCUCCAAAAACGAAUGAAGCUUGGCCUACACUUUAAUUUUAGCCCACUGAGACCUAUGUCACUUUUAACCUCCAGAACUGUAAGGUAAAAAAUGUGACGUUUUAUGCCACAAAGUUUGUGGAAAUUUGUUACAGCAGGAAUAAAAAACUAAAUGUUUUGGGGUGUUUUUCCUACAUUAACUUCUUUAGAGUCCUUUGAGUCACAAUGGAGAUACACUGGGAAAUUACAAAAUCAAGUUUAAGAAUCUCUAAUGGAGAGUGAGAGACUUCGGUGGACAUGGCUCCCAGCGUGCCAGCAGCAGAACCCGAGUAUCCUAAAGGCAUCUGGGCUGUGCUGCUGGGGCCUCCCGGGGCCUGUAAAGGCACCCAGACACCCAGAUUGGCUGAAAACUUCUGUGUCUGCCAUAUGGCUACUGGGGACAUGCUGAGGGCCAUGGCGGCUUCUGGCUCAGAGCUAGGAAUAAAGCUGAAGGCAACUAUGGAUGGUGGGAAACUGGUGAGUGAUGAAAUGGUAGUGGAACUCAUUGAGAAGAAUUUGGAGACCCCCUUGUGCAAAAAUGGUUUUCUUCUGGAUGGCUUCCCUCGGACUGUGAGGCAGGCAGAAAUGCUCGAUGACCUCAUGGAGACGCAGAAAGAGAAGCUUGAUUCUGUGAUUGAAUUCAGCAUCCCAGACUCGGCUGAUUCACCCCAAGAGUGGCCGUUCCUACCAUGAGGAGUUCAACCCUCCAAAAGAGCCCAUGAAAGAUUGCAUCACUGGGGAACCCUUGAUUCGUCGAUCAGAUGAUAAUGACAAGGCCUUGAAAAUCCGCCUGCAAGCCUACCACACUCAAACCACCCCACUCAUAGAGUACUACAGGAAACAGGGGAUCCACUCUGCUAUCGAUGCAUCCCUGACCCCUGAUGUCGUGUUCGCAAGCAUCCUAGCAGCCUUCUCCAAAGCCACAUCCUAGUAUCGGAAGGCCAGACGAGACUACACCACUGCUCAUCAGCCCGCGGCGUGAUCCCUGCUCUUAGGUGCUAGGCAGAAGGGAAGGGUGGUCAGGGUGAGGAUGGUGAGGGAGGGCUGGUGAGGGGCUCAGAGGAAUACUGGGAACAACAGUAGUGUUAUUGUAGUGUGGCAGUUUCUUUUAUACAUAGGUGGGAGUUUUUAAAGUGUAAGGGAAAAAUUAAUUUUUAAAAAAAUACCAUGCUUGGAGGGUGGGGGUAGAAAUAGAGAGAUACAGUAUUGUUUCUAAGGAAUCGGGUUUUCAUUUACUCUGGACUGGUGAAAAUAUUUUUUAAAGCCAGUGCACUAAGAUGUCAGCUUUUAUCUCAGAACCCCAUGGGUUCCAGACCAAGAGUACAGGAAAUCAAAUUGUUGUCCUGUGUGUCUAUAGCUUGCAACAGGGAGGCUUUGAUUACUGACCCUGGUUCCACACACUGUAAGAUCAAAAAACCGUCUCCACAUUUGAAAGAGACGUAAGGUGUAUUCGCAGGGAUGGUGGCUCAACAAAUCAAGCAUACUGGAAUCAAGGGGAGGGGGAAGGGAAUGGAAUGGAAAGGGAGGCUGAUUCCCUUCCCCUGACUUACCACUGAUUUACUAGGCUACCUACUCUCAUGAGUAACCUCUCACAGCUACCCAGCACAUGCCAGUCCUAUGCUUCUUUUAUCUGCAGUGUGUGAAGGGACUCUUUUAAAUAAAUGAGCAAGUGUCCUAAGCUAUGUCAUCCAAAGAUUGUCCUUUCCAUUAUCAAAUCCUGUGACUGGGAUCACUCAACAGCACUGUGAUGUAUUAUUUUCAAUGAGGUACCUUUCUUAACUGACCAAAUGCUGCUUUGUUUGGCCCCUAAAUCAAUAAAAUGUUAAAAUUUGUAAAAAAAAAAAAAAAAAAAAAAAAAA